ACAUGGCUCAUUUCCAAUGAGAGGCGGUUGAGAUCACUUCGCGGCGACAGAGGCUCGGCAGUUGCAAGUUAUCCCUCACCCGGUUAUCAGAUCUCAUCGCCACAACUGGGAUCCUCCUUUAUAUAGCCUACUGAGCCACAAACAAAGCGCCAGCAUCCAGCACGGAGCUUGAAUCCUUUUCUCUUUUCUCCCUCCCUUCUUUCUUAUUUUGCCCCGGGUCAGGCUUAACUCUCCGUUGUCUUGUGAAGCCAAUAGCGGGUGGUCAUCGCGUGAGCCAAGGAGUUUUACUGUACAACCUAUAUUGGCUGUUAGAACGUCAUGACAGCCGAAAAGACUCUUCCCAUUAUAAAUGGAAAACCAGAUGAUGCCAUGGACGCAGAGGCUUCGAAAACCAACUCGGUGCGCAGCAAUGACCAAAAAGUGAACGAGAGGGGACACUGGAACAAUAAGAUUGAGUUUAUACUGUCCGUCGCUGGGGAGAUUAUAGGACUUGGCAACGUAUGGAGGUUCCCAUAUCUUUGUUACAAAAAUGGAGGAGGUGCUUUCUUUGUGCCCUAUGUCAUAUUCUUUGUCUGCUGUGGAAUCCCAGUGUUCUUCCUUGAGACAGCCCUGGGCCAGUUCACUAGUGAAGGAGGGA